rnacentral:lncRNA from 1 species
AUGGCCGCCACGGCUGGCGCACUGCGGCCGGCACACUGCGUUGACCUGAAGCCAGGAGCCAGGUGCUUCUCCUGGUCUCCCAUGGGGUGCAGGCCCAAGCACUUGGGCCAUCCUCCACUGCACUCCCUGGCCACAGCAGAGAGCUGGCCUGGAAGAGGGGCAACCGGGACAGAAUCCGGCGCCCUGACCGGGACUAGAACCUGGUGUGCCGGCGCCGCAAGGCGGAGGAUUAGCCUAGUGAGCCGCGGUGCCAGCCCCUGGUGCGUUCUCCAGCCAGCCCACCUGGACUCCUGGGUUGGCCGAAAGCUGCAGCAGCAAGUGCCUCCCUCCCCACCAGCCUCCCCAGCUGCCAGCCCCCCCACCCCGCACCUGCGCACAAGGCCUCUGAGUGGCGCUGUUUCCCACAGUCUGCCUCCUGGGAACACCAGCCGGGCCGGACAAGCUCAGAGAGGCCCAGGAGCUGAGCCUUGCGUUUUAGCAGAGGACUUUGGGGAGCGAGGGCCUGGGAAGGAAACGCACGGAAGAAAACUCUGCCUGCAAGAGGUGGCCGUGGCCCACGUGGUCAGGAGGCUCGGCAGAGCCCUGGGCUGUCCCCACGGCUCCAUCAAUCAUUCACUAGGUGAGGGGCGGGGCAGCACCCUGAGGACACAGGAGCAGGAGCGUGGGAUGAGAGCCAGGCUGGACGGCCAUGUUUCAGGUCUCGCCGCCAGCACCUGCGUCAGCUCUGCGGCUCUGUGCCGACAAGCCAGGCCUCAGACGCUCGCCCUGAGCGAGGGGGCUGAAGCCAGGUCCCGUCUCGCCCAGUGCGGUGACGGCCCCGUGAGUCACAGCCGACUGGCAGGCUCCUCCGCUCUCCUCCAUUCCCUCCUGCUGGCCCUGCCCUUCCUGACUGCGGUGGCUGAUCCUCCGUGUCCCCUCUCAUCACAGCAGCUGCCACACCACGCGGUGACCAGUCCACCCACACUCCUGCAGCCGCGGGCUCCAUGGGGAGGGGCUACUAGGGCUCCCCCUGGGUUUCUGGGGGCCCAAACACGCGGUGCCCCCCAGGAGAGCUGGUUUCAGCAGUGA